rnacentral:misc_RNA from 1 species
GUCGUUGACAACGGUACGAAAUCUUCAACAUCCAAAAAUGGCGUUUCUUGCAUAGUAUAUCGCUAUAUUUAAGUCUAUCCUGGUUUUGUCAACGAGUGGAGCAAGCUUCUUGAAAGAAAAAUCGCGUAAACCAAGGAAUAGCGUUGGAGGAUCGGUUUCGUGAGAUUCCGCGUUCAGGAGGUUGCUUCGUAGAACAACGACGAAGAAAAAUGGAAUCAACGGAACAAUUGCGACCAGAAGAAUUGGUAGGUUUAGUAGCCCGGUCUGCGGAAGGUACAGCAGCGAAAGGAAUGCCUAUCAAGGGACAUGAGGAUCUGUGGGUGGAAAUUCAAGCGAAUACUUUCCGAAAUUGGGUGAAUGAACACCUGAAACACGCGGUCGACUCUGCAAAUGGUCCCGUCAUCGAUCUCGUUGAAGACUUUCGGGACGGUACACGAUUAUGCGCUCUCGUUGAAGUACUCACCAAACGACGACUACCUCGAUGGAAUCCCAGACCAGCUAAUCAACAUCACCAUUUGGAAAAUGUCUCAACAGCUCUUCAAGCUAUUGAGGCUGACGGUGUGAAACUUGUUAAUAUCGGUAAUGUAGAUAUUGUCAAUGGAAAUUUGAAACUGAUCCUUGGUUUGAUAUGGUCGCUCAUUGUAAGGUACCAAAUAGGCAAGUCCAAGUUCCCUCCAAGGAAACUCAUGCUUGCAUGGCUCAAGGCAGUUUUACCGGAAUGUAGAGUAAAUAACUUCACCACAGACUGGAACUCUGGCGUAUAUCUAAGUGCCUUGCUAGAUUAUUGCCAACCAGGUCUAUUUUCUCAUUGGCGUCGACUUGAUCCUAAUGAUAGUGUGUACAAUUGUCGAAAAGCUAUGGAAAUUUCGAAACGUGAAUUUGAUAUACCUAUGGUACUCGAACCAGAGUAUCUUGCAUCUCCAUAUUUGGACGAACUAUCGGGAAUGACCUACUUGUCGUAUUUCAUGAAGGAAGGUUCGCCGGGUUUUCACGCAACGUUACGAUGGGUUAACUCACAGUUACCUCGUCAUCCAGUACAAAACUUUACGACGGAUUGGAAUGACGGCAAAGCUUUAUGUGGUAUUGUGAGAAACUUGGGUGGCCCUGCUCCUGCUUACGAUAAGAUUGAUACCGAUUCUUCCGUAUGGGAACAUAAUAUACAAUUAGGUAUUGAUGGAGGCAAGAAACUGGGCGUAGAGCCUAUUCUUAAGGCAAAAGACAUGGCAGAUCAAAAUGUAGAACAUUUAGGCGUUAUGGCGUAUGCGGCAUACUUUCAGUGGGUAAAGCCUCGCCCUCAAGCUAGCAAACAAGUUGUUGUCCACAUCGAUAGCACUUCCGCUAGAGUGCAACAGCCAGCACACUUUAAAUUAGAGAUUCUUACCAAAGAAGUGAAUACAAGGGAAGUACGUGGUGAAGUGAUAAGUCCGAGCGGAAGGGUAGAAUGUAGACUUACAUGGAAUGGAAUACAUGGGAAGGGAACCUUUAUACCUACAGAAGUUGGGAUGCAUAAGUUAAUGGUAUGUAACGACGGAGAAUUAGUAGAUGGAUGUCCCUAUUAUUUCAGAGUUUUACCUCCCUUAACCAAAAUUAAAUCACCUGGAAUGGAUCCGUGCGCUAUAGGAUCCAUUGUUGAAGUUCUAGUCAACAGUUAUGGAACUAGUCAUAAUGGCAUUGAUGUGACUGCUUGGUCCCCAACUGGAAGAUCUCUACCAUGCCCUGUUAAAGAAAACGAUGGAGUACAUACCGCGACCUUUCAACCAGAUGAAACAGGAGAAUGGAGUAUUGCGAUAACUCAUAAAGGAAAUCACAUACAAGGUGGACCAUUUAUAUGCUUUGUAUUUGAUCCUAAUGGCAUAAAGUUAUUGGAUACGGAGGGUGCUUUACCCGGACAACCAUUUUCAUUUACUGUCGAUGCAACAGGAACCGGGGGUCUUGGCGAUGUAAUAAUAGAUUUAGUCCAUGAUAAACAAUCCAUUCCUUUCAGAGUGGAAAAUUUUGGACAUAUGCAAUAUCGAGUUUCAUUCAUUCCAUCAGAUUCUGGAAAAUACAGAGUUUAUGUAUAUUUUAAUGGAUCCGAUGUUCGAGGUUCUCCAUUUUCUAUACGAGUAGGAACUCAAAAAGCAUCGAAAAGAUCAAAGGAAUCUAGCCUCGAUAAGUCUAAAUUAUCUUCACUGGAAAGACGAAUGAACGGCUUGAACAUUGCAGUUGAGACUGAUAGAUCAAGUCCUGUACAGCAGAAAGCUUACUCUUCUCCUACGUAUAAAUUAUCCAGUCCAACUCAACAUGUACGCGAGUAUUCUCCCGUACGUCAAACUACCUCCACUUAUAAGACAUCGAAUAAUUAUUCGUUGGAAAACUCUAGUUCGACGUACCACACAUCGACUUCGUUCAAUCAUACUCGAUCUCCAAAUCAUAGUCAUAGUCCUGUUUCGCGAAAUCUUCAUAGUCCAUCUAUGGUUAAGGAUACGAAAGAAAUUUAUUCUUCUACUACAUACAAUCAUUCGAGAUCCCCGACGGUACAAAGUCCUAGCUUUAUGAAAGAGUCCAGUACAAUAAAUAGAUCUCGUUCUCCAAAUCCAAGUCCAACGAUGCAUGGUCCACGAUAUUCACCAGUCAUUAAGGAAUCUCGAGACAUUUAUAGUUCGGGAUCGUUGAAGAGAUCUCGUUCGCCAAAUCGAAGUCCGAUGGCAUAUCGUAGCACAACUCAGAGUCCUGUUAAUAGGAGCUUCAGUCCGAGAAAUGACAAAGACAAUAGUUACAAUAGGAGAGAUUCCACGGAUAAUGGAACAGUCGACACAAGCAGCAACGUCAGAGUAUCAUCGAUGAUUGGUGGGACCUCGAGAAGAGAUUCAUGGGAUGCUAUAGAGAAAACAAAAUCUUUGCUAUCUUAUGGCAGUUUAGAAUCCCUUGCUAAUCUAACCAAUAAUUCUGCAACAGCUGAAAAUACCACUAACUCGAAUUACUUCAAUAAUAAUUAUAAGAAUACUCAGGAUUACAGUUCAAAGAAUAUACUGCACACUCAUAAUAGUUCCUCCAAUCUUGCAUCCACUCAAAAGCUUUCAACUUCAGAAUAUAAUACAUCCCAAAAAUAUACCAACGAAAAUCAAAAUAUUCGUACACAAACGCACGGAAUUCUUAAAAAUAAAAAUAAUAAUUAUUACAAAAACAUGGAUAGCACAGAAGGAAUGCACGAACGAUAUCUUAAUAAUGAAGUUUCUAGUUCAUCAACACAAGAUAGAAAUUACGAAUUUGUAACUGGAAAUGCACUUGAGACAUUACAGAUUCAUAGACCGGCUACUUUCACUAUAGAUCAAAGUGUAGAUCCGAACAAAAUUACCGUUAGUGUUUCUGGUCCAAAUGGAAAAAUAAUUCCAAUACAAAAAUCAACUCUUCGAGGUUUAACGUACACAAUAACCGCUGAAGAAGUUGGAGAACAUAUUAUUCAAAUUUUAGUAAAUGGUCAACAUAUACGAGGCUCACCUUUUAGAUCGCAAGCAUACAAUGCCCGCGCUAUUCAAAUUGGGAACAUUCCGAAUGGUGUUGUUAAUCAACCAGUAGAAUUUGAAAUUGACGGAUCUAAUGCCGGAUCUGGAAAUCUAGAGAUCCUUGUGAAUGGUGGUCACGUAACUAGUUUUGUUAGAGCACUAGGUAAUCAACGAUUUCUGGCAUCGUUUGUACCUCAUGAAGCUGUUGUACAUCUCGUAGAAAUGACGUUCAAUGGCGAAGUUGUCCCUGGAUCACCCUGGCGUGUGGGCAUUAUGCCAGCCCCAAAAAUGUCAGUGAUUGGGGAUUCAAUAAGAUUGGUCCCUGCUGGUAGUCCAGCACUUUUUGAACUUUCUGCUCUUGGCUUUAGUAAUAAUGAAAUUGAUGUACAAAUUAUAACACCUUCUAAGAGACAUAUACCAGCAAGAAUUAAUGAAGAAUCAGGAAGAUCAGGAGAAUUUCGUGUUGAAUUCACUCCAAUUGAAGUAGGCAGUCAUCUUGUAGAAGUAACCAUCGCUGGACAAAAGCUACCGGCAGGACCACUAGUUGCCAAGGUGUACAAUAGCAGUUUAAUUCAAGUUACUGAUAUACCCAGUGCUGUUGUAGGACAUGCCUGUCAAUUUAGAGUUGAUGCUAGUGCUGCUGGUGAAGGACAACUUGAAAUUUCUAUAAAUGAAGGAGAAGUACCUAAUCAUGUUCAAGUAGUAGGAGGAGGACGUUGUCUUGUUUCUUUUACACCAGAAAUCGCAAAACCACACUACAUUGACAUAAAGUUUAAUGGGGAAGCAGUGAAAGGAUGCCCUUUUAUUUGUAAUGUAUCUGAUACCAGUAGAGUAACAUUAAGUUUAAAUCACCUGGAAUUAAUUCCAGUGGAUCAACCUGCUAGUUUUCAUAUGGGAGUUGAUGGUAGUGGUAGUGCAGAACUUGCAGUUUCUGUAAGAGGACCAAAUAGUGAAUUGCCUGUGAAAGUAACUGGUGAUAUAAAAAGUGGGUUUACUGCAGAAUUUAUUCCAAGAGAUGUUGGUGUCCAUUCAAUUAGUGUUGAAUAUAAUAGCCAUCCUGUAAAUGGUACACCAUUCUUGGCUAAAGCAUUUAAUGCAGAUAAAGUAUUAAUAGGCCCUGUAGCUAGGGCUAGUGUUGGUCAACCUACACAUUUCACUGUUGAUGCAAGUCAAGCUGGUGAGGGAAAUUUAGAAAUUACGAUAUCAGCUCGCAGUCAAAAUAUACCUACUCAAGUUACACCGCAGGGAAAUGCUCGGUUUUCAGUUAGUUUUGUACCAUUUGAAGCAUGUGAACAUAUAAUUAAUAUAGCCUUUAAUAAACGAACAGUACCAGGCUGCCCGAUUAUAACUCGAGUAGGUGGUGACAGUCAUGUAACAGUGAGUGGGCAGGCAUUAAGCAGUGCUGGAUUAGGACGACAAAGUUAUCUUACCGUCAGUAAUGUUGCCGGUAGCUUGGAAGAUUUAGAAGUUAAUGUUGAAGGUCGGCCAGCUUUCAGACUACGACAUUACUAGACUUCUCAAACACAACUAAUCUCACUUUUAUCUUAAUAAUGGAUUAUAUCAUAUAACUGGUGGACCCAAUGGACAGGCCGUACCCGCUCAAGUCACUGACAACAAAGAUACAACGUGCAGU